rnacentral:rRNA from 1 species
GAUGAACGCUGGCGGCGUGCCUAAUACAUGCAAGUCGAGCGAACAGACGAGGAGCUUGCUCCUCUGACGUUAUCGUCGCACGGGUGAGUAACACGCGGAUAACAUAUCUAUAAGAGUGGGAUAACUUCGGGAAACCGGAGUUAUUACCCGGUAAACUAUUUAACCGCAUGGUUCAGUAGAGAAAGACGGUGUUGCUGUCACGUAUAGAUUGAUUCGAGCCGGAUUAGGUGGUUGGUAAGGUAACGGCGUACCAAGGGGACGAUGCGUGCCCGACCGGGGAGAGUGAUCGGCACAAUGGGAACUGGAACACGGUCCAGACUCCUACGGGAGGCAGCAGGAGGGAAUCUUCGGCAAUGGGCAAAAGCCUGACGGGGCAACGCCGCGUGAGUAAGGAAGGUCUUCGGAUCGUAAAACCCUGUUAUUAGGGAAAAACACAUGUGUGAGAAACUAUGCACGUCUUGACGGUACCUAAACAGAAAGCCACGGCUAACUACGUG